GCCCUGGUUCAAAGACACCGUUGGUUAGAGCAUAGAGUUGAUAACGCCAAGGUUGCAGGUUUGAUCCCUGUAUGGGACA